UAUAGGGGAGGCAGCAGUGGGGAAUAUUGCACAAUGGGCGCAAGCCUGAUGCAGCCAUGCCGCGUGUAUGAAGAAGGCCUUCGGGUUGUAAAGUACUUUCAGCGGGGAGGAAGGCGUUGUGGUUAAUAACCACAGCGAUUGACGUUACCCGCAGAAGAAGCACCGGCUAACUCCGUGCCAGCAGCCGCGGUAAU
rnacentral:rRNA from 1 species